UACGAAGGGGGCUAGCGUUGUUCGGAAUUACUGGGCGUAAAGCGCGCGCAGGCGGUCUUCCAAGUCAGUGGUGAAAGCCCGGAGCUCAACUCCGGAACUGCCAUUGAAACUGUUGGACUUGAGUACGAGAGAGGUGAGUGGAAUUCCCAGUGUAGAGGUGAAAUUCGUAGAUAUUGGGAAGAACACCGGUGGCGAAGGCGGCUCACUGGCCCGUAACUGACGCUCAUGCACGACAGCGUGGGGAUCAAACAGG
rnacentral:rRNA from 1 species